rnacentral:rRNA from 1 species
CAGUAGCCGCGGGAAAACGUAGGGUGCAAGCGUUAAUCGGAAUUACUGGGCGUAAAGCGUGCGCAGGCGGUCCGCUAAGACAGAUGUGAAAUCCCCGGGCUUAACCUGGGAACUGCAUUUGUGACUGGCGGGCUAGAGUAUGGCAGAGGGGGGUAGAAUUCCACGUGUAGCAGUGAAAUGCGUAGAGAUGUGGAGGAAUACCGAUGGCGAAGGCAGCCCCCUGGGCCAAUACUGACGCUCAUGCACGAAAGCGUGGGGAGCAAACAGGAUUAGAUACCCCGGUAGUCCCUGUCUCUUAUAC